rnacentral:rRNA from 1 species
AAGCGAAAGCAGACCGACCCUUCGGGGAGCUUGCACAGGUGCUGCAUGGCUGUCGUCAGCUCGUGUCGUGAGAUGUUCGGUUAAGUCCGCUAACGAGCGCAACCCUCGCUGUGUGUUACAAGUGUCACACGGGACUGCCGGUCUUAAGCCGGAGGAAGGUGGGGAUGACGUCAAGUCAGCAUGGCCUUUAUGUCCUGGGCUACACACACGCUACAAUGGCCAACACAAUAGGUAGCGAAGCCGCGAGGCGGAGCCAAUCCUGAAAGCUGGUCUCAGUUCAGAUUGCAGGCUGCAACCCGCCUGCAUGAAGACGGAGUUGCUAGUAACCGCAGGUCAGCUAUACUGCGGUGAAUACGUUCCCGGGCCUUGUACACACCGCCCGUCACGUCAUGGGAGCUGGCAACACCUGAAGCCGGUAUCCUAACCCGCAAGGGAGGGAGCCGUCGAGGGUGGGGUCGGUGACUGGGACGAAGUCGUAACAAGGUAGGUGUACCGGAAGG